rnacentral:tRNA from 1 species
UGCCGGAUCGUCUAAUGGCAGGACAAUGGACUCUGGAUCCAUUAAUCUAGGUUCGACUCCUAGUCCGGCAGCCA